rnacentral:lncRNA from 1 species
GCCUAACAAAGAAACCUCCUUUUUUAAAUUCCUCUUUUCUCCUCUAGCAGCCAACGGGAAGUUUGAGCCCGCCAAGCGGUUGACAUAGAAACCAGGGGACGCAAAUUACAGAGUGGUUGGAGGAGCGAUGGAGGAUGAAGAAGAGGUCGAAGAACCCAAAGCAAAGGUGAAGGAGGUGAAGAUGUCGACGAUUGUUAUGACGCUCUUCCCUACAGCCGUCACCGAAGAAAAGCUUCAGGAAUCCAAGGAAAAAGCCAUCACUCGCAUUUUUGGGCCCGCGAAGACUUUGAUGAAGGUUAAAAACCCCCAAAGAGCAGGAGAUUAUGAAAGCAUUUUGAACAGGAAAAUAGAUGAGCACUGCCGAGAAGGAGAUCUCUACUUCUCCCAAGGGGAAUGGGAGGAAGCCAUCACUCGCUACACCAAGGCUCUGAAUCUGGAUCCCAAC